CUCAGCUGUGGGCUUAGGAAGCAGAGCCUGGGGCAUCUCCACCAUGGCCUGGACCCCUCUCCUCCUCCAGCUUCUCACCCUCUGCUCAGGGUCCUGGGCACAGUCUGCGCUGACCCAGGAAGCCUCGGUGUCAGGGACCGUGGGACAGAAGGUCACCCUCUCCUGUACUGGAAACAGCAACAACGUUGGAAGUUAUGCUGUGGGCUGGUACCAACAGAUUUCUCACGGUGCUCCCAAAACUGUGAUGUUUGGAAAUUCUCUGCCCUCAGGGAUCCCUGACCGCUUCUCUGGCUCAAAGUCUGGGACCACAGCCUCCCUGACUAUCUCGGGCCUCUAGCCUGAGGACGAGGCUGAUUAUUACUGUUCAACAUGGGACUACAGCCUCAGUGCUCACACAGGGUCCAGGGACCCAGAGUCCAUCUGUGUCAGCCCAAGGCUGCCCCCUCGGUCACUCUGUUCCCGCCCUCCUCUGAGGAGCUUCAAGCCAACAAGGCCACACUGGUGUGUCUCAUAAGUGACUUCUACCCGGGAGCCGUGACAGUGGCCUGGAAGGCAGAUAGCAGCCCCGUCAAGGCGGGAGUGGAGACCACCACACCCUCCAAACAAAGCAACAACAAGUACGCGGCCAGCAGCUAUCUGAGCCUGACGCCUGAGCAGUGGAAGUCCCACAGAAGCUACAGCUGCCAGGUCACGCAUGAAGGGAGCACCGUGGAGAAGACAGUGGCCCCUACAGAAUGUUCAUAGGUUCUCAACCCUCACCCCCCACCACGGGAGACUAGAGCUGCAGGAUCCCAGGGGAGGGGUCUCUCCUCCCACCCCAAGGCAUCAAGCCCUUCUCCCUGCACUCAAUAAACCCUCAAUAAAUAUUCUCAUUGUCAAUC
rnacentral:lncRNA from 1 species